GACGAACGCUGGCGGCGUGCUUAACACAUGCAAGUCGAACGGAAAGGCUCCAGCUUGCUGGAGUACUCGAGUGGCGAACGGGUGAGUAACGCGUGGGUGAUCUGCCCUGCACUUCGGGAUAAGCCUGGGAAACUGGGUCUAAUACCGGAUAGGACCGCACUUUGGUGUGUGUGGUGGAAAGGUUUUUCUGGUGUGGGAUGAGCUCGCGGCCUAUCAGUUUGUUGGUGGGGUAAUGGCCUACCAAGACGGCGACGGGUAGCCGGCCUGAGAGGGUGGACGGUCACAUUGGGACUGAGAUACGGCCCAGACUCCUACGGGAGGCAGCAGUGGGGAAUAUUGCACAAUGGGGGAAACCCUGAUGCAGCGACGCCGCGUGGGGGAUGAAGGCCUUCGGGUUGUAAACUCCUUUCGCUAGGGACGAAGCUUUUUGUGACGGUACCUGGAGAAGAAGCACCGGCUAACUACGUG
rnacentral:rRNA from 1 species